AUACGUAGGGGCCAAACGUUGUCCGGAUUUAUUGGGCGUAAAGGGCUCGUAGGCGGUUCAACAAGUCGGUCGUGAAAACCCGGGGCUCAACCCCGGGACGCCGGUCGAAACUGUUGUGACUAGGGUCCGGUAGAGGUGAGUGGAAUUCUCGGUGUAGAGGUGGAAUGCGCAGAUAUCGAGAGGAACGCCAGUAGCGAAGGCGGCUCACUGGGCCGGUACCGACACUGAGGAGCGAAAGCGUGGGGAGCAAACAGGAUUAGAAACCCUAGUAGUCC
rnacentral:rRNA from 1 species